GACCCGUUCGUCUAGUGGUCCAGGACUCCGCCCUUUCACGGCGGCAACACGGGUUCGAGUCCCGUACGGGUUGCCA
rnacentral:tRNA from 1 species